rnacentral:rRNA from 1 species
GCCUGGAAUAACACGAGGAAACUUGUGCUAAUACCGGAUAAGUCUUUACGGAGAAAGCUUUAUGCACCAUUGGAUGAGCCUGCACUUGAUUAGUUUGUUGGUGGGGUAAUGGCCUACCAAGACUUUGAUCAAUAGCUGAUUUGAGAGGAUGAUCAGCCACAUUGGGACUGAGACACGGCCCAAACUCCUACGGGAGGCAGCAGUGGGGAAUCUUGCACAAUGGAGGAAACUCUGAUGCAGCGAUGCCGCGUGAGUGAAGAAGGCCUUUGGGUUGUAAAGCUCUUUCGUCGGGGAAGAAAAUGACUGUACCCGAAUAAGAAGGUCCGGCUAACUUCGUGCCAGCAGCCGCGGUAAUACGAAGGGACCUAGCGUAGUUCGGAAUUACUGGGCUUAAAGAGUUCGUAGGUGGUUGAAAAAGUUGGUGGUGAAAUCCCAGAGCUUAACUCUGGAACUGCCAUCAAAACUUUUCAGCUAGAGUUUGAUAGAGGAAAGCAGAAUUUCUAGUGUAGAGGUGAAAUUCGUAGAUAUUAGAAAGAAUACCAAUUGCGAAGGCAGCUUUCUGGAUCAUUACUGACACUGAGGAACGAAAGCAUGGGUAGCGAAGAGGAUUAGAUACCCUCGUAGUCCAUGCCGUAAACGAUGUGUGUUAGACGUUGGAAAUUUAUUUUCAGUGUCGCAGCGAAAGCGAUAAACACACCGCCUGGGGAGUACGACCGCAAGGUUAAAACUCAAAUGAAUUGACGGGGACCCGCACAAGUAGUGGAGCAUGUGGUUUAAUUCGAAGAUACGCGCAGAACCUUACCAACACUUGACAUGUUCGUCGCGACUUUAAGAGAUUAAAGUUUUCGGGUUCGGCCGGACGAAACACAGGUGCUGCAUGGCUGUCGUCAGCUCGUGUCGUGAGAUGUUGGGUUAAGUCCCGCAACGAGCGCAACCCUCACUUUUAGUUGCCAUCAUUAAGUUGGGCACUCUGAAAGAACUGCCAGUGAUAAGCUGGAGGAAGGUGGGGAUGACGUCAAGUCCUCAUGGCCCUUACGUGUUGGGCUACACACGUGCUACAAUGGUAUCUACAACAGGAAGCAAAACGGCGACGUUAAGCAAAUCCUUAAAAGAUACCUCAGUUCGGAUUGCACUCUGCAACUCGAGUGCAUGAAGCUGGAAUUACUAGUAAUCGUGGAUCAGCGUGCCACGGUGAAUGCGUUCCCGGGUCUUGUACACACCGCCCGUCACACCAUGGGAGUUGGUUCUACCUUAAGGCAAGGCUUAAAACCCUUGACCACGGUAUAGUCAGCGACUGGGGUGAAGUCGUAACAAGGUAGCCGUAGGGGAACCUGCGGCUG